ACUCCUACGGGAGGCAGCAGUAGGGAAUCUUCCACAAUGGGCGCAAGCCUGAUGGAGCAACACCGCGUGAGUGAAGAAGGGUUUCGGCUCGUAAAGCUCUGUUGUUAAAGAAGAACACGUAUGAGAGUAACUGUUCAUACGUUGACGAUAUUUAACCAGAAAGUCACGGCUAACUACGUGCCAGCAGCCGCGGUAAUACGUAGGUGGCAAGCGUUAUCCGGAUUUAUUGGGCGUAAAGAGAGUGCAGGCGGUUUUCUAAGUCUGAUGUGAAAGCCUUCGGCUUAACCGGAGAAGUGCAUCGGAAACCGGAUAACUUGAGUGCAGAAGAGGGUAGUGGAACUCCAUGCGUAGCGGUGGAAUGCGUAGAUAUAUGGAAGAACACCAGUGGCGAAGGCGGCUACCUGGUCUGCAACUGACGCUGAGACUCGAAAGCAUGGGUAGCGAACAGGAUUAGAUACCCUGGUAGGAUAGCG
rnacentral:rRNA from 1 species